rnacentral:rRNA from 1 species
CGCCCCUUGAAAAGUAAUAACUUAAAGAUUAGGGGUACUGCCUGCCCAGUGACGUAGAGUUUAACGGCCGCGGUAUCUUGACCGUGCAAAGGUAGCAUAAUCAUUUGCCUUUUAAAUGGAGGCUGGAAUGAAUGGCAAGACGGAAAUUUGACUGUCUCUUUCUUAAUAAUCCUGAAAUUAAUAUCCUAGUGAAGAAGCUAGGAUUUAAUCGUGGGACGAGAAGACCCUGUUGAGCUUUAGCAAAUUUAGUAGUCAUAAGUUUUUUAUAAAAAGCUAAUUUUUAAUAUAGAGUUAAAAUUAAUUUUACUUUUUGUAAUAAAGGUGAUUUACUAAUUUUUGUUUUGGUUGGGGCAACCGCGGAGUAAAAAUAACCUCCGUUUAAUAAAAAAAUAAAAGUACUAUUUUUAUUUAUAUAAAUAUUAUUUGAAUUGACCCACCUUUAAGGUGAUCAAAGGAACAAGUUACCGCAGGGAUAACAGCGUAAUUUUUUUGGAGAGUUCAUAUUGAUAAAAAAGUUUGCGACCUCGAUGUUGGAUCGGGACUUCCGGGGGGUGUAGCAGCUCCUAAAGGUUGGUCUGUUCGACCAUUAAAGUCCUACG